rnacentral:rRNA from 1 species
UACGUAGGCGGUUUAUUAAGUCAGAUGUGAAAGCCCCGGGCUUAACCUGGGAACUGCAUUUGAUACUGGUAAACUAGAGUAUGGUAGAGGGGGGUAGAGUUCCUAGUGUAGCGGUGAAAUGCGUAGAUAUUAGGAGGAAUACCAGUGGCGAAGGCGGCCCCCUGGACCAAUACUGACGCUGAGGUACGAAAGCGUGGGUAGCGAACA